rnacentral:rRNA from 1 species
GAUGAACGCUGGCGGCGUGCCUAAUACAUGCAAGUCGAGCGAACGGACGAGAAGGUUUCUUCUCUGAUGUUAGCGGCGGACGGGUGAGUAACACGUGGAUAACCUACCUAUAAUACUGGUAUAACUUCGGGAAACCGGAGCUAAUACCGGAUAAUAUUUUGAACCGCAUGGUUCAAAAGUGAAAGACGGUCUUGCUGUCACUUAUAGAUGGAUCCGCUCUGCAUUAGCUAGUUGGUAAGGUAACGGCUUACCAAGGCAACGAUGCAUAGCCGACCUGAGAGGGUGAUCGGCCACACGGGAACUGAGACACGGUCCAGACUCCUACGGGAGGCAGCAGUAGGGAAUCUUCCGCAAUGGGCGAAAGCCUGACGGAGCAACGCCGCGUGAGUGAUGAAGGUCUUCGGAUCGUAAAACUCUGUUAUUAGGGAAGAACAUAUGUGUAAGUAAAUGUGCACAUCUUGACGGUACCUAAUCAGAAAGCCACGGCUAACUACGUG